AGGGAAAGAGGCAGAGAACUGUGCUUGUUUUUAUGACUUGUUGAUGUCUGCGGGGUUUUCUCCUCGGGCCUCAGAAUAAUGUACAACAUUGCCAACAGCAUUCAGUACAUUCAGAACACGAUCGUUUCGGCUGGAACUGACGGAAGGCCAUGCUUGGGACAGUACUGAGGACGGCUGUCCAUCAGACAAGGGGGUAAGCCAGGUUCCGCGAGUGACGAGUGGAGCAGGGCCGUCUUAAGUAACAUGGUUUAUGUAAGUGUGUGAUCUAAUGGUCCCACUGGAAGUGGGUCAGAUAGGAGCUGGGACAACCUGGGCCCUUUAUGACCCCAGUGACACCUUACGGUAAUUUUCCUUCACAUCCCUGAGAAGGUGGCCCUGUGAUGGAACACCACCAGGAUUCAGUUCAGUCUGCUGUACUCCCCACCCUUCCCUUGAUUCUAAAAGUUGUCCCCCUUUCAUUUUAAUAUGCUAAACAACAGGACCCAGCAUUUGACAGAGUUUGAUAACUUUAUGAUUGGGACUAGGAAGAGAGAUGGGAUAAAGAAAAAACCCCUUCUCGCCUCUCACAGCUGUGAUUCAGUUCUGACUCAAAAGGAAGUGUGCCACCUACUGAAUCACAGAAACCGCUUCCUGUGGCUGUUUGGUUUACUCUGGAGGCACCAGGCCAGAGCCUGCCCUGCCCUGACCCCUGCCUAGCUCCCCAGAGCCAAGGCGUUCACAGCUUGAGAUGGUUUGGCCUGGGACUCUUGAGAACAUUGCAUAUUGAAUUACAUGUGUUUCGUUUCCUAGCAAGGAGGCUUUAGCAACAUAAAAAUGAGCGUGUGUUAUUUGCAAACCUCUGAAUCAUUACUCAACCUGAAUUUCCCUAACUUUUUGCAAGGUGGGUAUAGAGAUUCCACAGUGCCCCAGGAAAUACAUGGUCUGUCAUGCAGUAAAGUUCCAGAAAGGCAGUUCUACGUGUCUGUCAACACCGCAAAUCCUGGGGAUCACUUCUGCAGGUAAAAGAGGUCUGCCCUUCAGAAUGUACCAGACUCCCUGAUGGCAGAGAACCGACCAUUCUUCUGUCCUUCGCUGCUCCUCUGAGUAAAAGAAGAACUGCAAACCCCUGACGCAGUGAGUAACUUACCCAUGUCAGCCAGCAGCUACGAGAUUUCAGUACAACAGCACCCAGGAUGCUGCUGGGCACCUACCUCCUGUCUGCCUACUUUGGCUAUCUAUCACCUGUGACUUGGCUUGUGCGUAAUAAGGCCAGCCAUUUCCUCGGGGUCUGACUGAUAACCUCAUGUUUAAUGAUGGAAUUCUGUGACUACACUGUCUCCUCCUGUGCAAACUCAUGCCUUUCUUUGGAAUACUCAUAGAAAUCAUUAAAAUGGUCAUAAACUGAAAUGCCUCAUCAAAAAGAUUGCUGCUUCAGCACAUCUGAUACGAAGGAGAGGACCCAACCCUCUGUCUUCUCAAGCCAGUUUAACACUGAUACUCUCUGCUUCUCUUCACCUGUCAGUCACAUCAUUUGACUCAACAGACCACGUUUUAACUUGUGCUUUCAAAAUCCAGGCAUUCUAAACACUCUUUAUUAAGUAUUCAUGGCAAGGAUACAGGAAGAUAAAUUGGUUUGCAAUAAUCUUAGAAGCCUGACAAUACUGAAACUUUCAGCUGUACGUGCAAUUUUGUUAGCUUGUGUUUUAAUUAAUCACUCCAAGGAUCUGUAUCUAGGACACAACCUGACAUAUAGUAAAUUUUGAUAACUAUUAUUUAUUUAAUAAACCUUAGAGUUAACUCUCCAAAUAACAAAAAACCCAUUAGAUUAUUCUAUUUUCUAUGUUUUUAUUUUAAACAAUUCUUAUGAAAUAGUCACAAACAUAUAAUCCAGAAAGAAUACAAUUUUCUGUCAUUAAUUUUUAAGGAGUUCUCAUGUAGCCCAAGCUGGCCUUAAACUCACUAUAUGGCUGAAUCUAAUCACUAGGAUUCCAUGCAUGUAGCAGCACACCUGAUUUAAUAUGGUACCUAGGAUGGAUCCUGGAGCUUCGACCCUGCUAGACAUGUACUCUACCUACUGAACUACAUCCCUAGCCUCUAAAUGUUUUAUUAUGUUACUUUUGGUUGGAUGUCACAGCAAAUUAUAUUGAACUCUUGACCAGCCUAUUUUUUCCAUUGGAAUAUUGGCUCGGAUAAGAAAUAACAUCAAGGAAAAAUUACUCUUUGGCAGGAAAAAUGUCCUCUCUAAAUUCUUGUGUGUUUUGUUUUGAUUUUUCCUUAGUGACUGGAGGCCAGUUUCAAUCCAUGCCGGCACAGAUUCCAAAUUUUCAAUCUGGUUUUCCUGACUACUGAGUGGGUGCCAAGAAUGAGACAAUGAUACAAAUCCCCACCAACACAUUUAAAUUCACAUAUACACACGCGUGUGCACGUAAACACACAUGCAGAGAUACACACACAGAGAGAAAAACACACACAUGGAAACGCACAGACACACACAUACACACAGAGAUACACACACAGAGAGAA